rnacentral:rRNA from 1 species
AUGUGGCUGGUUAUUCAGAGGAAGUGUCUGACGGCAGAUAAUCUCCAGCGACGCGGGUGGCUGUCCAACGACUGCUGUCCGCUCUGCUUAACGCUGCCCGAGGACUGCACGCAUUUGUUUCUGCUCUGCCGUUUCACUCAACAGCUCUGGACGGCAUUCCAGCUAUGGUCGGGCGCCAGUUUCCCUACGCCAAACGGCGGCUAUGGAAGCACUGAGGAUUGGUGGCUGGAGGCGCGAAGGGUUAUUCCGAAGCAUGCGCGCCGGAACUUCGACACCAUUGUCAUCCUUAUUCACUGGAGGGUCUGGAAGGAGCGGAACGCUAGAAUUUUUCAGCAAACGGCAUGUAAUGUUGAUCGAGUCCUAGACCUUAUCAGAGAGGACAUAGGAGUAUGGAGGUCGGCAGGGUGUGUGUCCGAACUGGGGAGCUAG